UACGUAGGGUGCGAGCGUUAAUCGGAAUUACUGGGCGUAAAGCGUGCGCAGGCGGUCCGCAAAGUCUGAUGUGAAAGCCCCGGGCUCAACCUGGGAACUGCAUUGGAAACUAACGGGCUCGAGUGUGGCAGAGGGGGGUGGGAAUUCCACGUGUAGCAGUGAAAUGCGUAGAUAUCUGGAGGAACACCGGUGGCGAAGGCGGCAUCCUGGACCAACACUGACACUGAGGAGCGAAAGCGUGGGGAGCGAACAGG
rnacentral:rRNA from 1 species